AACGAACGCUGGCGGCAUGCCUAACACAUGCAAGUCGAACGAGAACUUCGGGUCUAGUGGCGGACGGGUGGGUAACGGGUGGGGAUGUGCCCUUGUGUUCUGACUAUCUCUCCGAGACUGGUUGUAGUAACUGAGACUACUAUCGGAGAGGAGAUUUAUCGAGGGUGGAUCGGCGAGCGUUUGUUUAGGUAGUGGGUAGGGUAAUGGCCUACCAAGUCGACGAUGGGUAGCUGGUUUGAGAGGAUGACAAGCCACACUGGGACUGAGACCCGGCCCAGACUCCUACGGGAGGCAGCAGGUGGGAAUCUUAGACAAUGGGGGCAACCCUGAUCUAGCCAUGCCGCGUGAGUGAUGAAGGCCUUAGGGUUGUAAAGCUCUUUCAGCUGGGAAGAUAAUGACGGUACCCGCAGAAAAAGCCCCGGCUAACUCCGUG
rnacentral:rRNA from 1 species